CCUCGGGCGGCUGCAGUGGGGAAUAUUGGACAAUGGGCGAAAGCCUGAUCCAGCCAUGCCGCGUGUGUGAAGACGGCCUUCGGGUUGUAAAGCACUUUCAGUGGGGAAGAAAGCCUUGGGGCUAAUACCCUCGAGGAAGGACAUCACCCACAGAAGAAGCACCGGCUAACUCCGUGCCAGCAGCCGCGGUAAUACGGAGGGUGCGAGCGUUAAUCGGAAUUACUGGGCGUAAAGCGCGCGUAGGCGGUCUGAUAAGCCGGUUGUGAAAGCCCCGGGCUCAACCUGGGAACGGCAUCCGGAACUGUCAGGCUAGAGUGCAGGAGAGGAAGGUAGAAUUCCCGGUGUAGCGGUGAAAUGCGUAGAGAUCGGGAGGAAUACCAGUGGCGAAGGCGGCCUUCUGGACUGACACUGACGCUGAGGUGCGAAAGCGUGGGUAGCAAACAGGAUUAGAUACCCUAGUAGUC
rnacentral:rRNA from 1 species